rnacentral:rRNA from 1 species
UGGGGAAUCUUGCGCCAAUGCGCGAAAGCGUGACGCAGCGACGCCGCGUGGGGGAUGAAGGCCCUCGGGUUGUAAACCCCUUUCGCCAGGGACGAAGCGAAAGUGACGGUACCUGGAGAAGAAGUCCCGGCUAACUACGUGCCAGCAGCCGCGGUAACACGUAGGGGACGAGCGUUGUCCGGAUUCAUUGGGCGUAAAGCGUGCGUAGGCGGUCGUGCAAGUCGGUUGUGAAAUCCCGGGGCUCAACCCCGGGACUGCGUCCGAUACUGUGCGACUGGAGGCAGGUAGGGGAGAUCGGAAUUCCUGGUGUAGCGGUGAAAUGCGCAGAUAUCAGGAGGAACACCGGUGGCGAAGGCGGAUCUCUGGGCCUUGCCUGACGCUGAGGCGCGAAAGCUAGGGGAGCGAACAGGAUUAGAUACCCUGGUAGUCCUAGCCGUAAACGUUGGGUGCUAGGUGUGGGCGGACAUCGACCCGUCCGUGCCGAAGCUAACGCAUUAAGCA